rnacentral:ncRNA from 2 species
UUCUUAUCAAGAGAGGUCGAGGGUAAGGCCCGUAGACACCUCAGCAACCAUUAAUCUAUGAGAUUAAUAAGGUGCUAAUUCCUGCAAGUUUUAUAACUUGAAAGAUAAGAA